GCCUUCAUGGUGUAGUGGUCAGCACACUCAGCAUAUAUUCGACAGGUCCGGGGUUUGAGUCCCAGUGAAGGCA
rnacentral:tRNA from 1 species